AACGAGCGAGAUCCCUGCCUCUAGUUGCUACCAUUAUUCUCAGGAGUAGUGGAGCUAAUUAGAGGGACCGCCGUCGCUGAGACGGAGGAAGGUGGGGGCUACGGCAGGUCAGUAUGCCCCGAAACCCUCGGGCCACACGCGGGCUGCAAUGGUAAGGACAAUGAGUUUCGAUUCCGAAAGGAGGAGGCAAUCUCUAAACCUUACCACAGUUAUGAUUGAGGGCUGAAACUCGCCCUCAUGAAUAUGGAAUCCCUAGUAACCGCGUGUCACUAUCGCGCGGUGAAUACGUCCCUGCUCCUU
rnacentral:rRNA from 1 species